GGAAUAUUGGACAAUGGGCGCAAGCCUGAUCCAGCCAUACCGCGUGGGUGAAGAAGGCCUUCGGGUUGUAAAGCCCUUUUGUUGGGAAAGAAAAGCAGUCGGUUAAUACCCGAUUGUUCUGACGGUACCCAAAGAAUAAGCACCGGCUAACUUCGUGCCAGCAGCCGCGGUAAUACGAAGGGUGCAAGCGUUACUCGGAAUUACUGGGCGUAAAGCGUGCGUAGGUGGUUGAUUAAGUCUGUCGUGAAAGCCCUGGGCUCAACCUGGGAAUUGCGAUGGAAACUGGUUGACUAGAGUGUGGCAGAGGGUAGUGGAAUUCCUGGUGUAGCAGUGAAAUGCGUAGAGAUCAGGAGGAACAUCCGUGGCGAAGGCGACUACCUGGACCAGCACUGACACUGAGGCACGAAAGCGUGGGGAGC
rnacentral:rRNA from 1 species